AAUCCAUAGGUUAAUGAGGCGAACCGGGGGAACUGAAACAUCUAAGUACCCCGAGGAAAAGAAAUCAACCGAGAUUCCCCCAGUAGCGGCGAGCGAACGGGGAGGAGCCCAGAGCCUGAAUCAGCAUGUGUGUUAGUGGAAGCGUCUGGAAAGGCGCGCGAUACAGGGUGACAGCCCCGUACACAAAAGCGCAUGUGCUGUGAGCUCGAUGAGUAGGGCGGGACACGUGGUAUCCUGUCUGAAUAUGGGGGGACCAUCCUCCAAGGCUAAAUACUCCUGACUGACCGAUAGUGAACCAGUACCGUGAGGGAAAGGCGAAAAGAACCCCGGCGAGGGGAGUGAAAAAGAACCUGAAACCGUGUACGUACAAGCAGUGGGAGCACCCUUCGGGGUGUGACUGCGUACCUUUUGUAUAAUGGGUCAGCGACUUAUAUUCUGUAGCAAGGUUAACCGAAUAGGGGAGCCGUAGGGAAACCGAGUCUUAAC
rnacentral:rRNA from 1 species